AUGAAGCCGGAAUCGCUAGUAAUCGCGGAUCAGAAUGCCGCGGUGAAUACGUUCCCGGGUCUUGUACACACCGCCCGUCACACCAUGGGAGUCGGAAAUGCCCGAAGUCUGUGACCCAACCGGAAGGAAGGAGCAGCCGAAGGCAGGUCUGAUGACUGGGGUGAAGUCGUAACAAGGUAGC
rnacentral:rRNA from 1 species